UCGCUGCGGGGGGCCUUUAUUCACCCCUCAGAGCCGUGUGAGGGACGUUUUAUUACAGAUGGGCACACUUUAUUUCACGUCUUCUGAACUGUUGACAACAAACACCCGCUUACCCCCACUGAAAGACUUGGAAGAGCAAUGACCAUUUUUAAUAUAACUUCGAUUGGAAUAUUCUGAGGAAAGUCACGUACACCUAGGAUGCUCCGAGAGUGAGUAGAAGAUGGACAAAUUUUCAUUCUCGGGUGAACUAACCCUUUAAAGUAAAAACAGUUCACUUCAGUUUGUAACAAUGUUUUACAAUAUUACUGUUUUUAUCGUAUUUUUGAUCAAAUAAAUGUAGCCUUUGUGUGUGCUAGACUUUUUUUUUUUAAAUAUUAAAAGAAAAGCAAUAUGGCCGUGUAUCGUAUCAUGUAUUAAAUGUUGUUUGAAAGGAUGAAGAGGACGGCCGUAUGAAGAGGAAAGCUGAAAGGAGUCACUCAGAGUUUAUGAGUCUAAUGUAGACCGAGAUGCCAAAAGAAGUCCAAAAAGAAAAAUCACAGUAGUAAAGAAAAGAAGAAAAUGACACACAAGUCUAAGAGUGUGGUGUCCUGCACAACAGGCAGCUGGAUUUCAGAGCUCUUUCUCGACUGGGGAAAAAACCCUUUGGAUAUAUGUUGAAGUGACUCUUAAAAGAGAGUGCCUGCCACAGUGUGGCUUUAUGACUGACUUGGAUGAGAGGAUCAUGUGUUGGGGAGUUGAAAGGGGUGUGGGUUUAUUUUAUAAGCAGAUGAUUCUCAGUCCGAAUAAAGGUCAUUUACACCAUUGGCCCUGUGUACGUUAUCUGUGUGCUGAUGUGGAUCUGCAUGAGAAGUGCUGGUUUCGGGGGUUGUAAAGGUGGCCGAUUUGCAUUAAAUAUUUAUAGAAAAUUAAUGCUUCUGUGUUUCCCUAUGAAGCAGACAAUGGUUUUCUUUCUCUGAUAUUAGAACAAACCUGUGUUCCUGCACUGAUCUUCAGCGGCAUGGCAAAACAACUAUAUUUUACCCAAGUUUUGAAUGUUGAGUUCACUAUUUGUUAAUUGUAAUUCAAGUAAACACCACAAAAAAAGGAAA